AUUGAACGCUGGCGGCAUGCUUUACACAUGCAAGUCGAACGGUAGCAGGUUAAGCUGACGAGUGGCGAACGGGUGAGUAAUGCAUCGGAACGUGCCCGAUCGUGGGGGAUAACGCAGCGAAAGCUGCGCUAAUACCGCAUACGAUCUGAGGAUGAAAGCGGGGGACCGUAAGGCCUCUCGCGAUCGGAUCGGCCGAUGUCAGAUUAGGUAGUGGGUGGGGUAAAGGCUCACCAAGCCGACGAUCUGUCGCUGGUCUGAGAGGAAGACCAGCCACACUGGGACUGAGACACGGCCCAGACUCCUACGGGAGGCAGCAAUGGGGAAUUUUGGACAAUGGGCGCAAGCCUGAUCCAGCAAUGCCGCGUGCAGGAAGAAGGCCUUCGGGUUGUAAACUGCUUUUGUACGGAGCGAAAAGGCUCUCUCUAAUACAGGGGGCUCAUGACGGUACCGUAAGAAUAAGCACCGGCUAACUACGUGCCAGCCGCCGCCGUAA
rnacentral:rRNA from 1 species